ACCGCAAAUUCAUCGAAAUAUACGACCUAAUGUGUUAAAAUUAUGAUUUUAUUAUUGAAAACUCUGGAAAUUUUCUCCACUGCAUUUUAUUUAAAUCGACUUCGGGUAGGCGUAUUACAACAAAAUAUAUUCUCUGAAUAAUAUUUAAAUUGAGGUAGGGUUUAUAUCAUCAUAUCAAAUAUUUCUUAAAUCACAAAAACUAUUCUAUGAAAGUUUCCUUAAUAGGUAGGGGUAACAAUAGUACAAAAAUAUUCCAAAUUAGGUAGGAAUACAAAAUAAAAAACCAACUGUGUUCAAGGAUUUUCUUGUAAAAACUGAAAUUAAAACUACUGGUAAUUCAUUUCCUUGUAUUUUAAAACACAAAUAUUCAUUACACUGAAACAUAUUCUGCAAAUAAUGUACCUGCAUUCAAUCAAUACAAUAUUAUUAAACAAUUCUCGAAGUCGGUUAAGAACAAAACCAAAGAAUUUCUUAAAUCACAUAGGUAGGUGUAAAACAAUAAUUUAUGAAGACCGCAAAUUCAUCGAAAUAUACGACCUCAUGUGUUCAUACUAUAAUUUUAUUAUUGAAAACACCGGAAAUUUACCAUCUGCAUUUUCUUUAUAUCGACCUCGGGUAGGCAUAAUACCCUUAAUAUUUUCAUUCAACUACAAAAUACAUUAUGUGAAUAAUACAGUUUGAGGUAGGGUAAAAACCAUGCUAAAUAACAUUUCUUAAUUUGUUAAGAAAAACACCAAAAUAUUUCAUAAAUCCCAAAAAAUAUUCUACGAAAGUUUUCUCAAUAGGUUGGAGAAAUAAAAUCGUACAAAAAUGUUUCAAACUAGGUAGGAAUUAUACGAAAUAUAGAACCUACUGUGUUCAAGCAUUUUCUUGCUAAUAGAAAUUUUAAAAACUGUUUGUAAAACGAUAAUUUAUUUCCAUCUAUUUUAUUUAAAUCGAUCUCGCGUUGGCGCAAAUCACGAAUAUUCUUAAGACUGAAACAUAUACUGUAAAUGAUCUAUGCAGGUAGGGUCAAUACAAUGUUACACCAAAACAACACUAAAAUGUGUCUUAAAUAAAAAAAAUAUUUUAUGAAAGUUUCAUAAAUAGGUAGGGGUAAAACAAUCGUUCAAUAAUUUAUCAAAUCGACAAAUUCAUCGAAAUAUGCGAUCUACUGUAUUCAAACUAUGAUUUUAUCAUUAAAAACACUGGAAACUCCACUGCAUUUUAUUUAAAUCGACCUCGGGUAGGCGUAAUACAUCUGUAUUCUUUAAACAACAAAAUAUAUUCUCUGAAUAAUAUAAUACGAGGUAGGGAUUAUAUCAUCAUAUCAAAUAUUUCUUAAGUCACAAAAACUAUUCUAUGAAAGUUUCAUCAAUAGGUAGGGCUAAAACAAUUGUAUGUUACACUCAUUUUUCAAAUUAGCUAGGAAUUAUGCGAAAUAAAGAACCCACUGUGUUCGAACUAUGAUUUAAUUACUGAUAUAUGAAUGGUACAAACAUGCGUAAACCGAUAAUACAAUUACAAUUUCUGGUAAUUUGUGUCCAUACUUUUUCUUAAAUUUGAUCCCGCGACGUAAAACACAAAAAUUCUUUACACUCAAAAAAUCUUUCAAUGAUUUAUCGCAACUGCAAAUUUAUCGAAAUAUACGACCUUAUUGGUUUAAAAAUAUGAUUUUAUUAUUGAAAACACUGGAAAUUUACUUCCCUGCAUUUUCUUUCAAUCGACCUCGGAUAGGCAUAAUACCUCAGUAUUUUCUUUACCCCGCAAAAUAUAUUUUGUAAAUAAUGUAGUUUGAGGUAGGGUUAAACCCAUGCUGAAUAAAACUUCUCAAUAUGAUAAGAACAACACCAAAAUAUGUCUUAAUCGCAAAAAAUAUUCUAUAGAAAUUUCAUCAAUAGGUAGAGGAAAAACGAUCCCACAAAAUGUUCCAAAUUAGGUAGGAAUUAUUCGAAAUAAAGAACCUACAGUGUUCAUGGAUUUUCUUGCUAAUAGACAUGGUAAAAACGGUUCGAAAAACGAUAAUGAAAUCGAAAUUACUGGUAAAUUAUUUCCAUGUAUUUUAUUUAAAUCAAUCUCGUGUAGGCGCAAAUCACAAAUAUUCUUUAAACUGAAACAUAAUCUGAAAAUAAUGUAUGCAUACAAUGUUAUCAUACAUUUCUCGAAGUUUGUUAAGAACAAUACCAAAAUGUGUCUUAAAUCACAAAAAAAUAUUGUAUGAAAGUUUCAUAAAUAGGUAGGGGUAAGACAAUCGUUCAAUAAUUUAUCAAACCACAAAUUCAUCCAAAUAUACGACCAAAUGUGUUCAUGCUAUAAUUUUAUUAUUGAAAACAUUAUUAUGAAAAAUACAGUUUGAGGUAGGGUUAAAACUAUAGUGAAUAACAAUUCUCAAUCUGCUAAGAACAAAACCAAAAAGUGUCUUAAAUCAAAAAAAGAAAUUCUAUGAAAUUUUCAUCAAUAGGUAGGGGUAAAACAAUCUUACAAAAAUGUUCCAAAUUAGGUAGGAAUUAUACGAAAUAUAAAACCUGUGUUCCAGGAUUUUAUUGCUUUUCUCUUCGUAAAACGAUAAUGAAAUUGAAAUUGCUGGUAAUUUAUUUCCAUGUAUUUUAUUUAAAUCAAUCUCGCGUUGGCGCAACACCAAAAUGUGUCUUAAAUCACAAAAAUAUUGUAUGAAAGUUUCAUAAAUAGGUAGGGGUAAGACAAUCGUUCAAUUAUUUAUCAAAUCGACAAAUUCAUCGAAAUAUGCGAUCUACUGUGUUUAAACUAUGAUUUUAUCAUUAAAAAUACUGGAAAUUUGCUCCGCUAAAUUUUAUUAAAGUCGACCUGGGGUGGGUGUAAUACAUCUACAUUCUUUAAACAACAAAAUGUAUUCUCUGAAUAAUAUAAUACGAGGUAGGUUUUAUAUCAUCAUAUAAAACAUUUCUUCGUCUGUUAAGAACACAACAUAAAAUUACAAUCUUUAUUAACAUGGUAUAUCAUAAUAUAUUAUAUUAAAAAGGUCUUUGACUCUUCAUAUUCUGUGAAAAAUUUUGUAUUAUGACUUAAACACUUCUAUUGUCCAAUCAUUUUUCCAAACUAGGUAGGAAAUUCACGAAAUAUUUUAUUACUGAUAUAUAAAUCGUACAAAUCGUAAAAUUACUGGUAAUUUACAAGUAUUUUCAUGCUUUUCCUUAAAUAUUAUAUGAUCCCGCGAAGGCGUUCAAACAGACAAAUAUAUUGAUAUGUUAAUGUUAUGCAACAUUUCUCGAAAACGGUUAGGAAUAAUAAUAAUAUAGGUAGGGUACCAUUUUUCAAUCUGUUAAGAACAACACCAAAAUAUGUAUUAAAUCACAAAAAAUAUUCUAUGAAUGUUUCAUCAAUAGGUAGGGGUAAAACAAUCGUACAAAAAUGUUCUAAAUGAGUAAUUAUUCGAAAUGUAAAACCUACUGCGUUCAAUGAUUUUAUUGCUAAUAGAAAUGGUAAAAACAGAUUGUAAAACGAUAAUGAAAUUGAAACUACUGGUAAUUUAUUGAAAUCGAUUUCGGGUAGGCGUUAAACACAAAUAUUCUUUAAACUGAAACAUAUUCGCGAAAAAUUUAUGCAGGUAGGGUCAAUACGAUUUAACAAACAUUUCUCCAAGUCAAGUAAGAACACAACCAAAGUACUUUUUAAGUCACAUUAAACAGAUAAGGGUAGAACCAUCUUUCUAUAAUUUAUAAAACCGCAAAUUCAUCGAAAUAAACGACCUUAUGUGUUCAAACUAUGAUUUACUUAUGAAAACACUAGAAAUUUACUUCACUACAUUAAUAUUAUUAUGUGAAUAAUAUAACUUAAUAAUAUAACUUAAUCAAUAGGUAGGGGCAAAACAAUCGUACACUCAUUUUCCAAAUUAGCUAGGAAUCAUGCGAAAUAAAGAACCUACUGUGUUCAAACUAUGAUUUUAUUACGGAUAUAUGAAUGGUACAAACGUGCGUAAACCGAUAAUACAAUUAAAAUUACUGGUAAUUUAUUUCCAUUCUUUUUCUUAAAUUUGAUCCCACGACGUAAAACACAAAAAUUCUUUACACUCAAAACAACAACUGCAAAUUCAUCGAAAUAUACGACCUUAUUGGUUUAAAAAUAUGAUUUUAUUACUGAAAACACUGGAAAUUUACUUCCCUGCAUUUUCUUUAUAUCGACCUCAGAUAGGCAUAAUACCUCAAUAUUUUCUUAACCCCGAAAAAUAUAUUUAGUAAAUAAUGUAGUUUGAGGUAGGGUUAUACCCAUGCUGAAUAACAUUUCUUAAUCUGAUAAGAACAAAAAUGCAAUGUCUUAAUCACAAAAAAUAUUCUAUGGAAGUUUCAUCAAUAGGUAGGGGUAAAACAAUCGCUCAAAAUGUUCCAAAUUAGGUAGGCAUCAUACGAAAUAUAGAACCUAUUGUGUUCAAUGAUUUUAUUGAUAUUAUAAAUGCUAAAAACAGUUCGUAAAACGAAAAUGACUUUGUAAUUACUGAUUAUUUAUUUCCAUCUAUUUUAUUUAAAUCGAUCUCGCGUAUGCGCAAAACAUAAAUAUUUUUAAAAUUGAAAUAUAUUCUGCGAAUAAUGUAUGCAGGUAGGGUCAAUACGAUGUUAUCAAACAUUUCACGAAGUCGAUUAAGAACAACACCAAAAUAUUUCUUCAAACACAACAGAUAGGUAGGGAUAAAACCAUCGUUCAAUGAUUUAUCAAAACCGCAAAUUCAUUCAAAUAUACGACCUAAUGUGUUCAUACUAUAAUUUUAUUAUUGAAAACAUUUGAAAUUUACUUCCCUGCAUUAUCUUUAUAUCGACAUCGGGUAGACAACUUUCAACUACAAAAUACAUUAUAUGAAAAAUAUAAUUUGAGGUAGGGUUAAAACCAUGGUGAAUAACAAUUCUCAAUCUGCUAAGAACAAAACCAAAAUCAAACAAAAAUAUUCUAUGAAAUUUCAAUACGUAGGGGUAAAACAGUCUUACAGAAAUGUUCCAAAUUAGGUAGGAAUUAUACGAAAUAUAGAACCAACAGUGUUCAACGAUUUUCUUGUUAAUAGAAAUGUUCGUAAAACGAUAAUGAAAUUAAAAUUACUAGUAAUUUUUUCCAUGUAUUUUAUUUAAAUCGAUCUCGCGUAAGUGUAAAACACACAUAAUUUUUAAAUUGAAACCUAUUCUACAAAUAAUGUAUGCAGGUAGGGUCAACACGAUGUUAAUAAACAUUUCUUAAGAACAACAAAGAAAUAAAUCUUAAAUCACAACAGUUAGGCAGGGUUAAAACAAUCGUUCAAUACUUUAUGAAAGCCGCAAAUUCAUCGAAAUAUUCGAUCUAAUGUGUUCAAACUAUGAACAAAAUAAUAAAAAAAAUAAACAAUAUUCCAUAAAAGUUUCUUCAAUAGGUAGGGGUAUUCAAUUCAAAAUAAUUUUGUAAACUGGAAAUACAUUUGACUGCAUUUUAUUUAAAACCAUCGCGGUUAGGCGCAUUUCAUAAAUAUUCUUAAAAGUACAAAAAAACUAUUAAUAAAUAAAUACGGGGUAGGGUUAAUAAGAAAAUUUAUCUCUAAAACAUUUCUCAAACUCGCUAAAGAAAAAAGCGUAAAUAUUUUAAAGGCUUUAAUUAGGUAGGAGUAAUACAAUCGAACAAUAAUUUUCCAAUCGAAAUCAGUGAAAUUAAAAACAAUGAAGAUGAUUACAAUGAUAACAGAUUUUCAAAGACAAACGUAAUCCCAAAAAUGUAAAAAACUUCAAAGGAUUAAUAAAUUCAAUAUUUUGAAAUUGAUCAAAUACUCGAAAGAAGAUUUUGUAAAAGAUCCUAACUGCAUCCAAGCAAUACAAAAAGUUCAGUGCGAUAUUUAAAUGCAUAUAUUUAUGUUAUCAUCGAAGCAUGUCCAAAAAAUAUUUAUUCUUACCUUAUCAAAUCUGGCUUGGGAUUGAACCAUUAUACCUGCUAUUUUUAUAAUUGACGAACAAUAAACAUGGGAAAUCUUAAUUUUGUAACAAAACAAGUCUCAAGGAAAAAAAAACAAAUAAUUGUGAAAUAUAUUAAGAAUACAUGUACUUAAAAAAUAGUGAACAAGAACUUGAUAACUUGAGAAACCACAAUAGAGGCACUGCUUACUCAUUGCUAUAUAUGAAAUAUAUCAACAGCUUUAUCAGCUUUAUGUGCACAUUGUGAAUUCCUGAAUAAAUUAAUUUAUCUACCCGAUGGAAUUAGAAACUUGGAGUCCCUUGAAUCCCUGUUUUGUCACUACAGUAUAUAACAUUUUUGGAUAUUGUGUCGAAUGAUAUAUGUUCAAAAUUAUGCACGCAGCUAAUUAAUUCAUCAAUAACUAUAAUCAAGGAACUACGCCAUUUGCCUAAGCACAAAAUUCUUCUUAACCCCGAAAAAAAAAACCUACAUCACAAAGUUGCAAAAACAUUUAUUACACAUCCCCUUCACAAAAUAUCUAUAGGAUAAUGAAUAAUAAUGGAAAUAAUAUCUUAUAUUUUCUAUAAAAAAAAGUAAUCAUCAACAAGCAGGGAAUUUUAAUGCCUCUACACAUUUUAAAGUAUUAGAACAAUAUCUAAUUGGGAACAACUUCAACAAUUUUGGAAAUCUGCGAUUCCUUAAAACAUUACAAUGUCUAGGAUAUACAUAACUAGGAUAAAUAUUGAAAUAUAAUGGAAAUCAAAAUGAAAAUGCCCAAAUUAUAAUUCAUUGGAAUAAUAUAACAAUAUCCCAAGAAAAUAAUAUUAAUACAUAUAUUCCUUAAAAUAAGAAGCUGUGUAACAAGAACGAAAAACAUCAAACAGUUAUGGAAAAAAUCACACAACGAUUAAAACUCUUCCUUAGGUAGGGAAAUAUCUAAUACAUCUAAUGGUCUAAUAAUGCAUCAACACAAUCAAUUCGUUAUAAUCCCUUAUUUAGGUAGUAUUCAAAAAAUAAAAUAAGGAAAUGUAUUAAAAGCAUAUCAAAAAACCUAACGAAUGAAAAUUCUAUAAUAAUAAUAUUAAACAUCAAAUCUUAAAAUCGAUAUGCAUGACGGUUCCACCGCUCUAUCGAAAAUCAAAUAUUAAUAUUAAAAAUGAAUUAUGUGCAUUACUGCCAAUAUCGUAAAACGACAAGAAAAUUGCAUUCUCUACAAUUUAUGGAAAUAUAUCUCUGAUAAUAUACAAAAGAAACGCGAACUACAAAAAUAUUAUGUGACAGAUUACAAAUUUUUAUGAAUAAUAUAAAAAUAUUUUCUUAAAUAUGUUCCCACUAAUAGGCUGGAGUAUUACUAAGGUAAUAAAAUUAAAUGACUAUAUUCGCUAUACGAAAAUAAAAUGUUCUAUAGGAACCUGUAUGGUAUAUUCCUCUACUUUUUCGAAAAUGAUAACUUAAUGGAUUACAAGAUUAAUCACAAGUUUACAACUAUGAAAUUUUGAUUAUUUGGUGUGAAAUACUUGCAGCUGCAAGUUAUUUUAAUACAUAUAAUACAUACAUAUAUAGCUAUAAUACUACGAAAAUGCUUUUUUGAUUGCAUCUUCCAAUUUUAUAUUCUUAUUAUUUAUACGAAUUUAUUAGAAACUGUUUUUCUUUUUCUAUUUCUUUCGUUCACGUUAUACAAAUUUGAAUCCACAUCUUUCUCAUCGAAGACUAUAAAAAAAGGCUUAUUUUUACCCUAUUAUACAAAUUGUAGUAUUGAUUUUGUAUGUGUAUUUUAUAUUAAAUCUGGCUGAGGAUUAAACUACUUCUACAUUUAUUAAUAUCACUACAUCACUUGGACUCGGAAUCCUCUACUUUCUGCAGCCAUCUAUAAAGAAAUUCAAUAUCGUAAUUAAACAUCUUUAAUGGACACCCCAAAUUCAAACAUCAACUUUCAACAAGAACACAUAUUCUUAAAUAGUACAUUAUACACCUGUACCAAUCCACGCCCUACUUUUCACUAUGCUGUAUACCUACAUACAUACAUAUGUAAUGUCUCAACAUCUUUACUGGCUUAAUGCGCACAACUACAUUGUCUAUGACUGCAUAAAUUCAAUGGAAUUUAAAAAUAUGAAUACCACCAAUCAAUGAUUGUAAACAGUAUAUAACCCUUGUUGAAAGUGAUACAUUUUUAAUUUCUGCUAAUUAUUUCAUCAAAAACUUGCAUGAAGGAUCCUCGAAAUUAUUUUUAAGCGUAAAAAUAACGAAACCCAACCGAAUAAAACGUAUUUUACAAACUAGGAAUAAAACGGACAUGCUUUUUAAAAACAAGCUCAAGAAGUUGCUCAAUUAGAAGAUCAUCAAACUAUUAUUUUAAUUGACUACUUGUAUUUCAAAAUCGAAAAGAUUGAAAAAAUAUUUAAUAAUAUUACGCCAAGAGAAAAUUCUAAGAAAACAAUUUUUUCUGUGACCCCUGUCUAAUUAAUAAUGCAAAAUUCUCAAAACAUUUACGAGCAUAGCAAUAUUUAAGAUAUAUACGAAGAAAGCAAUUCUAUAAUAAUUGUUGUACAGUAUUUUUACUAAGUAUGCUUCCUCUCCUUUAUUCUUAACACUGAAUUCUAUUGUACACGUUUAAAAACAUGUUAUUUAAAAACAAAGUAUUGGUCAUUUCGCUUUAUUAUGUAGAAACAACAUUCAACAUCCUUGAACAAUAUUUAUUAAGCUACGAUGCAAAACUUUUCAACUGUACAAUAGUAUACUAUAUGUGUUUAAAUUUCAUUAAAUCAUAUGUCUGAAAGAUUGUUACGGGAUACUUGAAAUAUGGAUUUACUUCUUAAUUAUGUUAUUGUUCUUUAUUGAUUGCAAUAUUUUUACUAAAUGAAAAUGGGAAUAAAAAUACUUCCUCUUCACCUUAAAUGGGUAAAAAUAAAAAGCAAUUAUACUAUAUUUUAUACAUUGGCUUCAGGAUAAACAAAGUCUUAAUUUAUAUGGACAUGACACUUCACCAAAAUAACGAAGAACCCCUAUAUCUAUCUAUAUUUCUGAUGUAAACAUCAAAUCUUUAAAAUUGUCAUGAAAAAAUUAACAACAUUUUGACUGAACUAAUACAAAUAUUUUAUAAUGAAAAUAGUUAUUUACAAUCUGCCAACGAAAUCUCUUCAAACUAAAUUUUUUUUAAAGCUACUAUAAUUUAUUCUAUACAUAUAUAUUCUUGAUAAACCAAUAUUUUUAUGUACAUUUAUAUGGAAAUGUCAAUAUUAUUUCUUUUUAAUAAUGGGUGAGAAUUUAAUUAUAUUAAUUUAUAUCAAAUUUGAACUUAUUCUUAUAAUUGAUUUUGGGUUUAACGAAUAUAAAAUAUAUAUAUUAAUCUUUAUACAGAAAAAUUAGGUAAAUUAUUAAAAAUCAAUUAUCAUAUCUCUGAACUGACCAGUUUUUUAUUUCAAAUAUUGAUUUGUUGGUACAUUAAGAACACGAUCAUAGUAGGGAGACUAAUUCUUCCUGGCAUUUUUAUCAAUUAUAAAGGAUAACUGAUAUAAAAGAAAGGUUAUAAGGACACAAAUAUUUAAUUUUUACUUACUGAAUGAUUCGAAAAUAACAUAUUUAUAAAUUAUUAAUUUUUUGUUUGUUUGACCUACCUAUCUUAGUAGGAAUACGUUCGAAUCUUUAUACUUAACAUUUCCAUAAAUGCACAUAUGUUAUUCCCUUUUUUGGUAAACAACAUUAUAAAUGUAGGCAUUAACGAUUUAUUUUUAAUUUGUGAUUUUAAACUCAUUUAUAUCAUAAAAGAAAAUAUCGUAUGAAAUAUAAGCAAUAAUUUUAUAAAUCAAUUCCAAUAUAUAAUCUAAGUCGCAUACUAUUUUUAACUCGUUUCGACAUCAAUAAACAUGUCUUAUGGAUUUAGGGAAUAAUACCACGUUUUACAAUGUGAAUAACAUUUUCUUGGCCUAAUCCUCUUAAGAUAAACUGAUUCAAUUAGUAUGUACCCUUUCUGUAAAACAUUUGGACCGAAACAUACUCAAUAACGUUGAAUGUUAGCACUAUUAAAUUUUGAACAGUUACUAAAAGCACUAUAUGCAAUCAUUUAUUAGCAAUGUAUAAAAUUCCAUAAAUUGUAUGAAAAUCAACAAAAGGCUAAGCAUUAAGUGGGACGUAAAAAAACUGCUUAUGAUAUUUCCAAACAAAAACAUCUUAGAAAUUAGCAGUAAUACUAUUCACAUAAACCCAUUAAUAUUGAUCUUAUAGAUAAAAGCAAAUAUAGCAAUAAAGGAAGCAAUUAAGCAAUCAACACCCAGAUUCUAAUGAAAUUAAUAUAUUAUAGACACCACAAGGAAAAUAGUACACUCGAAAGAAAAAAUACAAGCUAUCAUCAUUGUUAUUGUCAUGAACAACAUUACUAAAUAGAUAAAAAUUUCAUUUUUGAUAUAUAAAGAAUAUAUAAAUAUAAUCACUUAACAUUUAAUGGAGACAAGCUAAUAAACGUACUUCUAUGGAAUCCAACUUGAAUUUGAUGAGAAAAAUGGAGCAGCAAUCCAACAAUUGAAUUAAACAGAUUUUCGCAGAAUACAAUAUCAAUAAUGUCGUGAAUAUUUAUUACUACAAACAUUAACAGAAAUAUAAAAUAAAUACAAGACAAUGCAAAAGUUCAAUAACUAAAAUAUUUAAUGAAAUUCAAACCCUAUUACACAACGUAUAAAAUCUAUCUAUAGUACAAUACAAAACUCCGCCCUUUUUAGAUAUACUAUUAUACAAUUAAUUGUUCACAAUUAUUGUUUUUGUUCUUUAUUUUAUAAAUGUUCAAUACAUUUGUGAUUUAAAAUUGUUUUGAAUUAUCUGUACGAACAUGUAUGAAUUGUAUUACUUACUUUAUUCCUAAACUAUUAUUGAUGUUUUGAAAUAAUUGACAUUUUUCGUUUUCAAUAAUGAAUACCAGCAUUUGAAUAUAUAUUUUUAUUUUAUAUGUGUAUGUACUUGUUUUAAUUUGUAUUUAUAUCUUCGAAUUUCUCUUUAAUUUUCAUCUAAUUUUAUUAUUAUUCUGUUGAAAUGGUUGUCGAUGAAAGUGAAACGUUUUAUCCUAGAAACAAUUGUCCAUUAAAAUUUUUACCUAAAACUUAAGAUUUUUGUAAAAUCUAAUUUCUUUACCCCUAAACUAUUUUCGUUGUUAUGUAUGAAUGAUUGAUUGAUCUUUAGGUAGGAUGUAAUCCUAAUCUUUGGUGCACUUCUGUUUAUUAAUGUUGAAAAGUUUUCUGUUUACUUAGACCUGCAAACAAUUGUUCAUUCAAAAUUUGGUGUCAAAAGCCAAAAAAAAAUUUGUCUAAUUAUUGAUUUAUUUGGGCUACACACAAAGUUUCUUUUGCGGGUGGAGAAAACCCUAUAUGAAAAUAAUGCAAUGAAGCUGUCAUAUUAAAACUGAGUGUUUUCAAAUAGUAUACUAAAAACCACAAAAAAAACGCAGUACAAUAACAAACAAAACUAUGUAGGAAAAAGAUUCUAAAAAU